CUGACUGGCAUUCCUAUUUUCAAAUUUGAUGGGAAGAUGUCGAAUUCAGGUAAUCCAUUUUGGUUUCUUCUCCGUAGUUUCUAAGAUUCAAAUCUUCUUCAUCGUUACACUCGCAGAGUUUUGCAUUGUUGUCUACGGACAAGUUCUCUGCAUUCCUGAUUGUUGCCAGAACAUAGUUGUUCAUUGUUCUAAACUAAGUCGGACAUUUUUUUUAUGUUCUUUCACGAAGUCCAAUUCUUCACCGUUGGUUUUUUCUAAAUACGAAGUCUAAAGUUAUUUCUGGCAUUUGAGUUUACUGCGCCAAGAUAUUACAAUCUAUAUUAGGCUUUUUCUCAGCAGAUGAUAAACUAUUUUAUGAGAUUUGAUGUAUUAUGGCUCGGGAUUAGAAAGAUAAUCACAUUGCAAUUUCCAGAAUUCUCUCUCCGUCGGAAUAAGUUGCUUUCACUCAAUUCAAGUAACUUUCUGGAAAGCAACUCCUCUGGUAUGAAUUACUUGCUAACAUAUCGUAUUCAACAAUUUUAAUUUCUGUCUCCGUUGAUUUGUUUUCAACUCAUCUCUUUUUUACUUCGCUUUUGCAACUUGUGAUUGGUAUUCUGUAUAAUUAUCAUAAACGAUUUCAGAUCUGUCUUUUCUGCAGACAGUAUUUUAUGAUUUUACUACAGAUAAUUAUUUGUUUCAGGCGAAUUUCUAAAUGGGGUUAAAGCCGAAUACUCUGAUCAGAUCAAUAAUUUGACUAUGUUAUGAUUAAGGUGAAGUAUUUUCUGGUGAUUAUAUCAAGAAUUUCAUAGUGUUAUGGUUAACAUGUGACACAGUCAUCAUAUUCAAUUUACAUGAGCUCAGAAUUUUUUCCUGCUGCAUCGCUAGCUUGAGUAUCAGAAACCAGAUUGCUGUUCUUUGGAAUUCUGAUUUCUAAGAAUAUGUCAUUGUACAAGUAUACCUCCAUCUUUUUGCAGUCUGCAUCUUCUGGCAACUCAAGCCUUCUGACAUAACCAUUUUCCCACCAUUUCCCACUUCUCCAAUCCUUCGUUUUAUUCUCUCUCUGCUGCUUCCACUCUCCACUAAUUUCCAUCACCUUCCAAUUAUCAACAUAGAUUUGUACAUUACUUUUCCCACUUCCUGUUUCCACAAUCAAAUUGCUUGAUUAGUACUCUGCAACAUAAGUUUUUAACUUGUUAAAUCGAACCUGCCAAACAAAACUGAUGAAGGGCACCCCAUAGAUUCACUGGUACCACCCUGUUCAAUUUCAAUCUUGACAAAUUUUAGCUGUAAAAACCCUUGGUUGUGUGAUAUUAAGAAGUUAGGUUUUUCACUAUUGGUCUAGCUUCUGAGAUAACCAAUUCAAUGACUUAUUGAAGAAAUUAUCAUUGGACAUGAUUAAGAAGAGGUUUGAGCAAUCCUUACCUGGAAGUUGUGCUUUUAGUACAUAUGCUUGAUCUGUCUGAAACCAAUCGACGCUGCAGUGACCCGAGCUCCGAAGACUUGACAGUAGGAUAUCCGACUCAAAC
rnacentral:lncRNA from 1 species